GAUGAACGCUGGCGGCGUGCCUAAUACAUGCAAGUCGAGCGAACAGACGAGAGUGCUUGCACUCUCUGACGUUAGCGGCGGACGGGUGAGUAACACGUGGGUAACCUACCUAUAAGACUGGGAUAACUUCGGGAAACCGGAGCUAAUACCGGAUAAUAUUUAGCUUCGCAUGACGCAAUAGUGAAAGACGGUUCUGCUGUCACUUAUAGAUGGACCCGCGGUGUAUUAGCUAGUUGGUGAGGUAACGGCUCACCAAGGCAACGAUACAUAGCCGACCUGAGAGGGUGAUCGGCCACACUGGGACUGAGACACGGCCCAGACUCCUACGGGAGGCAGCAGUAGGGAAUCUUCCGCAAUGGACGAAAGUCUGACGGAGCAAUGCCGCGUGAGUGAAGAAGGUGUUCGGAUCGUAAAACUCUGUUGUAAGGGAAGAACAAGUACGUUAGUAACUGAACGUACCUUGACGGUACCUGACCAGAAAGCCACGGCUAACUACGUG
rnacentral:rRNA from 1 species